AGUUUUUAAUAGUGCUUUAACAUUUAAUCAUAGUGACAGAAAAGGGAAAGAAAACAUAAUUAACCUUUAAUUCGAAUCUAAAGUCACGUGGAUGGAAAUUCAAAUUCGUAGGCGUUACGUUUUGGCUGUCGGUCAGGAAUCGGGAUGCAUUGAUAAGUGAAUAUUAUAGAUUUUCUUGAACACAAAGGUAGUUAAAGUGUUGGACAUGCUCUCAAAGGUCGGAGGGACGGAAACACGUGAAUAUGUAAAAAGAAACAUAUGAAAUGAAAAUGAUGUCACACACGCUAUUGGGUGCUACAAACGCUACAUAUCUUGCGGACAGACGAGGGUGCUGAAAGAAGGUCAUAUCUUAAAGCAUCACACCUCAAAAUUCGUGCUAAUUCUCAUGGAUAUCUAAAAGUAUAACUUUGUGAAGUAACUAAAAGGCAGCAAUUUAUACAUUACUGACAAUUAUCAAAGGAGGUCAAAAUAUGCAAAAUGACACUAAAUGUUUUAGAAAUGCUGUAGAAAUAUAGUUAAAGUACUGAAAAUCAGUCAUAAAUUGCUUGAAACAUUAUUAUCAGAAUCUUUUAACUUUUCUUAAAAUUAUAAUAUUUUCAUUGUUUUAUUUGAUAAGGCAAACUUUGAUAGAAAUGUGCAUACAU